GUUUUACUAUUGUUUUGUUGCUGUGCUCAACCUCCUUCCCCAGGUAAGUCUUGUUGCUGCUCGCUCUUUGGGUGUACACUGCCUGUAUGAGCUGUGACCCUCAUUUGUGAAGGUCUGCAGUUUCAUUCCUGAAACCAGCAAGACCAUGAAUUCUCUGGGAGGAGUGAAUAGCUCCAGAUGCCCUGCCUUAAGAGCCGUAACAUUCACCGCGAAGGUUUGCAGCU
rnacentral:lncRNA from 1 species